rnacentral:rRNA from 1 species
UCAGGAGAGCUUGCUUUUCUGGUUAGUGGCGAACGGGUGAGUAACACGUGAGUAACCUGCCCUUCACUCUGGGAUAACUCCGGGAAACCGGGGCUAAUACUGGAUAUGACCUGCUCGGGCAUCCGAUGUGGGUGGAAAGAUUUAUUGGUGGGGGAUGGACUCGCGGCCUAUCAGCUUGUUGGUGAGGUAAUGGCUUACCAAGGCGACGACGGGUAGCCGGCCUGAGAGGGCGAUCGGCCACACUGGGACUGAGACACGGCCCAGACUCCUACGGGAGGCAGCAGUGGGGAAUAUUGCACAAUGGGCGAAAGCCUGAUGCAGCGACGCCGCGUGAGGGAUGAAGGCCUUCGGGUUGUAAACCUCUUUCAGCAGAGAAGAAGUGGCCGGGUUUUCUCGGUUGUGACGGUACCUGCAGAAGAAGCACCGGCUAACUACGUGCCAGCAGCCGCGGUAAUACGUAGGGUGCGAGCGUUGUCCGGAAUUAUUGGGCGUAAAGAGCUUGUAGGCGGUUUGUCGCGUCUGCUGUGAAAUUUCGGGGCUCAACCCCGAACUUGCAGUGGGUACGGGCAGACUAGAGUGUGGUAGGGGAGACUGGAAUUCCUGGUGUAGCGGUGAAAUGCGCAGAUAUCAGGAGGAACACCGAUGGCGAAGGCAGGUCUCUGGGCCACUACUGACGCUGAGAAGCGAAAGCAUGGGGAGCGAACAGGAUUAGAUACCCUGGUAGUCCAUGCCGUANACGUUGGGAACUAGGUGUGGGUCUCAUUCCANGAGGUCCGUGCCGCAGCUAACGCAUUAAGUUCCCCG